UCUGAGUUCCCGUGUGCUAGACUGGCCAGA
rnacentral:piRNA from 1 species